rnacentral:rRNA from 1 species
UGCAAGUCGAGCGGUAAGGCCCUUUCGGGGGUACACGAGCGGCGAACGGGUGAGUAACACGUGGGUGACCUGCCCUCCACUCUGGGAUAAGCCCGGGAAACUGGGUCUAAUACCGGAUAGGACCACUGAUCGCAUGGUUGGUGGUGGAAAGUUUUUUCGGUGGGGGAUGGGCCCGCGGCCUAUCAGCUUGUUGGUGGGGUGAUGGCCUACCAAGGCGGUGACGGGUAGCCGGCCUGAGAGGGCGACCGGCCACACUGGGACUGAGACACGGCCCAGACUCCUACGGGAGGCAGCAGUGGGGAAUAUUGCGCAAUGGGCGGAAGCCUGACGCAGCGACGCCGCGUGGGGGAUGACGGCCUUCGGGUUGUAAACCUCUUUCGCCAGGGACGAAGAGCAAUUGACGGUACCUGGAGAAGAAGCACCGGCCAACUACGUGCCAGCAGCCGCGGUAACACGUAGGGUGCGAGCGUUGUCCGGAAUUAUUGGGCGUAAAGAGCUCGUAGGCGGUGUGUCGCGUCGGCCGUGAAAACUUGGGGCUUAACUCUGAGCGUGCGGUCGAUACGGGCAUCACUUGAGUUCGGCAGGGGAGACUGGAAUUCCUGGUGUAGCGGUGAAAUGCGCAGAUAUCAGGAGGAACACCGGUGGCGAAGGCGGGUCUCUGGGCCGAUACUGACGCUGAGGAGCGAAAGCGUGGGGAGCGAACAGGAUUAGAUACCCUGGUAGUCCACGCCGUAAACGUUGGGCGCUAGGUGUGGGGACCAUUCCACGGUUUCUGUGCCGCAGCUAACGCAUUAAGCGCCCCGCCUGGGGAGUACGGCCGCAAGGCUAAAACUCAAAGGAAUUGACGGGGCCCGCACAAGCGGCGGAGCAUGUGGAUUAAUUCGAUGCAACGCGAAGAACCUUACCUGGGUUUGACAUGCACCAGACAUCCCUAGAGAUAGGGCUUCCCUUGUGGUUGGUGUGCAGGUGGUGCAUGGCUGUCGUCAGCUCGUGUCGUGAGAUGUUGGGUUAAGUCCCGCAACGAGCGCAACCCUUGUUCCAUGUUGCCAGCACGUAAUGGUGGGGACUCAUGGGAGACUGCCGGGGUCAACUCGGAGGAAGGUGGGGAUGACGUCAAGUCAUCAUGCCCCUUAUGUCCAGGGCUUCACACAUGCUACAAUGGCUCAUACAGAGGGCUGCGAGACCGUGAGGUGGAGCGAAUCCCUUAAAGUGAGUCUCAGUUCGGAUCGGGGUCUGCAACUCGACCCCGUGAAGUUGGAGUCGCUAGUAAUCGCAGAUCAGCAACGCUGCGGUGAAUACGUUCCCGGGCCUUGUACACACCGCCCGUCACGUCACGAAAGUUGGUAACACCCGAAGCCGGCGGCCCAACCCUUGUGGAGGGAGCUGUCGAAGGUGGGACUGGC